rnacentral:miRNA from 1 species
UUGUGUAUUUUUGUGGUACAACUGUUCAUCUCGUAUUUAUAUUAGUUGCAGUUAACAUGUUAACUGCAACUAAUAUAAAUACGAGAUGAACAGUUGUACCACAAAAAUACAAAAUAUUUCGAUU